rnacentral:rRNA from 1 species
AGUAGCGGCGAGCGAACGCGGAAGAGCCCAAACCGUUGGGCUUGCCCCGUGCGGGKGUUGGGGCUGYCGGGCCUCWAGGGCGGCGAGUCACAAACCAUGKUGNUUAAAUCAACGACCUGUAACCGGCGGACGGAGAGGGUGACAGCCCCGAACGCCACAGGGUCCUGACUCG